rnacentral:pre_miRNA from 1 species
GUUGUACUCCCUCCGUCCGGAAAUACUUGUCGAAAAAAUGGAUGUACCUAGAUGUAUUUUAGUUUUAGAUACAUUCAUUUUGGCGACAAGUAAUUCCGGACGGAGGGAGUACUAG